ensembl:lncRNA
AUACGUGACAAUGUUCAGUGUUUCAGAGUUCUGUGGUUCCACAGUGUAGUGUCGGUCGGUGUAUCGGGGUUCUGUAGUGUGGCGUCGGUCGGUGUAUCGGGGUUCUGUAGUGUGGCGUCGGUCGGUGUAUCGGGGUUCUGUAGUGUGGCGUCGGUCGGUGUAUCGGGGUUCGGUAGUGUGGCGUCGGUCGGUGUAUCGGGGUUCGGUAGUGUGGCGUCGGUCGGUGUAUCGGGGUUCUGUAGUGUUGUGUCGGUCGGUGUAUCGGGGUUCUGUAGUGUGGCGUCGGUCGGUGUAUCGGGGUUCUGUAGUGUGGCGUCGGUCGGUGUAUCGGGGUUCUGUAGUGUGGCGUCGGUCGGUGUAUCGGGGUUCGGUAGUGUGGCGUCGGUCGGUGUAUCGGGGUUCGGUAGUGUGGCGUCGGUCGGUGUAUCGGGGUUCUGUAGUGUUGUGUCGGUCGGUGUAUCGGGGUUCUGUAGUGUGGCGUCGGUCGGUGUAUCGGGGUUCUGUAGUGUGGCGUCGGUCGGUGUAUCGGGGUUCUGUAGUGUGGCGUCGGUCGGUGUAUCGGGGUUCGGUAGUGUGGCGUCGGUCGGUGUAUCGGGGUUCGGUAGUGUGGCGUCGGUCGGUGUAUCGGGGUUCUGUAGUGUUGUGUCGGUCGGUGUAUCGGGGUUCUGUAGUGUGGCGUCGGUCGGUGUAUCGAGGUUCUGUAGUCGGUCGGUGUAUCGGGGUUCUGUAGUGUGGCGUCGGUCGGUGUAUCGGGGUUCUGUAGUGUGGCGUCGGUCGGUGUAUCGGGGUUCUGUAGUGUGGCGUCGGUCGGUGUAUCGGGGUUCUGUAGUGUGGCGUCGGUCGGUGUAUCGGGGUUCUGUAGUGUGGCGUCGGUCGGUGUAUCGGGGUUCUGUAGUGUGGCGUCGGUCGGUGUAUCGGGGUUCGGUAGUGUGGCGUCGGUCGGUGUAUCGGGGUUCGGUAGUGUGGCGUCGGUCGGUGUAUCGGGGUUCUGUAGUGUUGUGUCGGUCGGUGUAUCGGGGUUCUGUAGUGUGGCGUCGGUCGGUGUAUCGAGGUUCUGUAGUGUGGCGUCGGUCGGUGUAUCGGGGUUCGGUAGUGUGGCGUCGGUCGGUGUAUCGGGGUUCGGUAGUGUGGCGUCGGUCGGUGUAUCGGGGUUCUGUAGUGUUGCGUCGGUCGGUGUAUCGGGGUUCUGUAGUGUGGAGUCGGACGGUGUAUCAGUGUUCCGUAUUGUAUUGUCGGUCGGUGUAUCGGGGUUCUGUAGUGUGGCGUCGGUCGGUGUAUCGGGGUUCUGUAGUGUGGCGUCGGUCGGUGUAUCGGGGUUCUGUAGUGUUGCGUCGGUCGGUGUAUCGGGGUUCUGUAGUGUGGCGUCGGUCGGUGUAUCGGGGUUCUGUAGUGUUGCGUCGGUCGGUGUAUCGGGGUUCGGUAGUGUGGCGUCGGUCGGUGUAUCGGGGUUCGGUAGUGUGCCGUCGGUCGGUGUAUCGGGGUUCUGUAGUGUUGCGUCGGUCGGUGUAUCGGGGUUCUGUAGUGUGGAGUCGGACGGUGUAUCAGUGUUCCGUAUUGUAUUGUCGGUCGGUGUAUCAGGGUUCUGUAGUGUGGCGUCGGUCGGUGUAUCAAGGUUCUGUAGUGUUGCGUCGGUCGGUGUAUCGGGGUUCUGUAGUGUGGCGUCGGUCGGUGUAUCGGGGUACUGUAGUGUGGCGUCGGUCGGUGUAUCGGGGUUCCGUUUUGUGGCGUCAGUCCGUGUAUCAGUGUUCCGUAUUGUAUCGUCGGUCGGUGUAUCGGGGUUCUGUAGUGUGGUGUCGGUCGGUGUAUCGGGGUUCUGUAGUGUUGUGUCGGUCGGUGUAUCGGGGUUCUGUAGUGUGGUGUCGGUCGGUGUAUCGGGGUUCUGUAGUGUUGUGUCGGUCGGUGUAUCGGGGUUCUGUAGUGUUGUGUCGGUCGGUGUAUCGGGGUUCUGUAGUGUUGCGUCGGUCGGUGUAUCGGGGUUCUGUAGUGUUGCGUCGGUUCGUGUAUCAGUGUUCCGUAUUGUAUCGUCGGUCGGUGUAUCGGGGUUCCGUAUUGUAGCGUCAGUGUAUUGAGGUUCCGAUACACCGUUUAGAGUUUGGUUCCCGACCUUUCAGGUUCUCUUUCAGCAGAAUACCGAUGGGGCAUCUGUUAUGCAGCAGCAUGCGUGGGCAGGGGUCCUCGCUCACUGUGAUGUAUGUGAUGCCCAUGUACUCCUGACAAGUGACCACCAAGGUCCUGAAACAACACACACAGCUGCAUCAUUAUCUAACCAGAGGCUCAUCCAGGCCGUCUCCCCCUUGCGUGUCCCAGUGGGCGUGGCCAGGGCGCAGGCCUUAUUGAAGCCAGGCCCGGGGACCCACACUGGCCAACGGCAGAACCAAACCCAGGCUUCUGAAAAAAGCCAAUGUCGUAAAAAAUCACUUCUGCACUCAUGGGUCCAAUUACCACUCCACUUUCUCUCCCUCUGCUUUGCUCGGCUGGACAAAAGCUGUCCAAACAGGCUCUGCUGGUGCCCAGGGCUCGGGCCACCCCGAGAGACAGAGGCAGCAACAGAAAGAGACAGAGAGAGUGAGAAGAGUGGAAAAGAUGACCACAUCUCCGUUUCUCACCAGGCCAAGUCUCACUGGGGCAUGAGCCUGUUUUAUGUCUCGUGACCCCCGCUCCGGUUCACACGUACCUGCUGCUGAGGCCGGCAUUGGCACCGGCCUCGGCUGGCACCGUCACACUCUGCCUAGGGAAGUCCGGCCGCACUGGGACCGGCAAGCUCCACCAAGUAGCUCCACCCUCAGGCCUGGCGCCCAUCGCAGAGCUGAAGAGCAUGUGCCUGAGGGGCAGCGGGUUCUCGACCUCCCCCUGGGCGCCCUCUCUCAGCAGGUCCCAGCACGGCAGGGUGCACCGCCUGGGGUGACUGGUGUCCCGUGCUGGGGCCAAGGUGAACACCCCGGCAUCAAGAGAUCGGACAGGCUGUGCGAAGAACAGGACACACACAACAAACUGUAUUAGCCAUGACGGAACAGUGUGUGUGUGUGUGUGUGUGUGUGUGUGUGUGUGCCAGUGG